GAUGAACGCUGGCGGCGUGCUUAACACAUGCAAGUCGAACGAAGCACUUUAUUUGAUUUCCUUCGGGACUGAUUAUUUUGUGACUGAGUGGCGGACGGGUGAGUAACGCGUGGGUAACCUGCCUUGUACAGGGGGAUAACAGUUGGAAACGGCUGCUAAUACCGCAUAAGCGCACAGCAUCGCAUGAUGCAGUGUGAAAAACUCCGGUGGUAUAAGAUGGACCCGCGUUGGAUUAGCUAGUUGGUGAGGUAACGGCCCACCAAGGCGACGAUCCAUAGCCGACCUGAGAGGAUGACCGGCCACAUUGGGACUGAGACACGGCCCAAACUCCUACGGGAGGCAGCAGUGGGGAAUAUUGCACAAUGGGCGAAAGCCUGAUGCAGCGACGCCGCGUGAGCGAAGAAGUAUUUCGGUAUGUAAAGCUCUAUCAGCAGGGAAGAUAAUGACGGUACCUGACUAAGAAGCACCGGCUAAAUACGUG
rnacentral:rRNA from 1 species